GCUACUACCGAUUGAAUGGUUUAGUGAGGACUCCUGAUUGGCGCCGCCGCCCCGGCAACGGAGCAGCGGACUGCCGAAAAGUUGUUCAAACUUGAUCAUAUAGAGGAAGUAAAAGUCGUAACAAGGUUUCCGUAGGUGAACCUGCAGAAGGACA
rnacentral:misc_RNA from 1 species